CUGCAAGACAUCCUCUCCGGGAAUACGUCCAGCCUGCAGUACGUUUGGUCGCAAGUGGGUAUCAGCAGUGCCUACGUCACAUCACCCAGCGGCGCACUCAACGCCCUCGAAGUGAUUUUUGCGGCCAGCCUCUUCCUGUUGAUCAGCGCUCUAGGAUCGAGCUACAGCAACCUGACCGUCCUACAACUGAUGUCCUUCACAUACAGCCUGCAGGGACUGCACAUGCUCUGCGUAGGACUUAUCAGUGAACAGUUCACCUACGUGAUUACAAACACCAUAUACUAUGUCUGUUUCAACUAUGGCGCCGCCGCUGUCUACCUGGUGUCCGCGAUAUUUGCUGUCUCCAUUGGAAUAAACCCCUUGAAGACAACGACGUCCUUGGUUAGCGUGGUAAGCUUGAGAGGCGUAUGUUUGAUCGCGUAAAAAUUGAGCUGCAUGAACGCGCUGAUCGUUUAUUUUCGCUGUCAAUUCCAAGAACUGCAAGACAAAGUUUGCUCUGUGACGUGGC